UACGAAGGGGGCUAGCGUUGCUCGGAAUCACUGGGCGUAAAGCGCACGUAGGCGGAUUGCUAAGUCAGGGGUGAAAUCCUGGAGCUCAACUCCAGAACUGCCUUUGAUACUGAGGAUCUUGAGUACGGGAGAGGUGAGUGGAACUGCGAGUGUAGAGGUGAAAUUCGUAGAUAUUCGCAAGAACACCAGUGGCGAAGGCGGCUCACUGGCCCGUAACUGACGCUGAGGCACGAAAGCGUGGGGAGCAAACAGG
rnacentral:rRNA from 1 species